ACACUGAUGGUGAAACGGUUAUCAUGCUUGCCUUCCAUGAACGUCACGUGAUUCAGCAAGCGGUAGGGGUUCGACUCCCCUUCAGUGUA